UACGGAGGGUGCAAGCGUUAAUCGGAAUUACUGGGCGUAAAGCGCACGUAGGUGGUUUGCUAAGUCAGCUGUGAAAUCCCCGGGCUCAACCUGGGCACUGCAGUUGAAACUGGCAAGCUAGAGUAGGGUAGAGGGGUGUGGAAUUCCAGGUGUAGCGGUGAAAUGCGUAGAUAUCUGGAGGAAUACCGGUGGCGAAGGCGGCAUCCUGGACCGAGAUUGACACUGAUGAGCGAAAGCUAGGGGAGCGAAACGGG
rnacentral:rRNA from 1 species